GCAGAACAGAGAGCUUCACAUCUGCCAUGAAUUAUCUUAGUUUUAUUCAUUUUCUCAUAGUGUUUGGUGUGUACCGAUGUGAGGUGUUCCAGAAUGAUCAGAUUAGAGUAAAUGAAGGACAACAAGUGACGAUCUCAUGCUACCAGAAUGUUACCAGUAAGGACACCAUGUUCUGGUACAAAAAAAAUGUCUAUGGAAGGAUUGAAUUUCUUGCCAGUGGAUUUGAGGGCACAAGAGAUGCUGGAACAUUUACAAUGUCAGUAAAUCCAGAUGAGAGAACAACGAGUCUGAAGAAGAGUAACGCUGAACCUGAAGACACCGCUCUGUACUUCUGUGCAGUUAGAGACACAGUGAUCCCACCUGGGGCAGCCAGCGUUCAGGAACUGCUGUCACUUAAAGUACUGUAUGUAGCUGUCAGAUGCAAGCUGCCAAAUGAAAAGGACCUGCAUAUAUGCAGUAACUGUGAAUGUUUGCAUUGCCUAUUUAUUUAAGGCAACUUGUAUUUUAGGUUUAAUGAAUUUUUAAACUAUA